CCCGGCUCCGGGGCCUCUUCGCGGCCGUGGGGUGCGGGAUGCACGCGGACCCCCCGUUGAUGGCUUAUUGAUAAGGGUGGGUGGCACUGGUUUUGCAGCUUGAGCGUUGUCGUGUGAAAACAGGGAGCUGAUUCGUGUUGGGUUAUUGGAAGUGGUAAUGUGGGCUCCGGUGUUUUGUGAAAAUCAAUAGGGGCAUUCUGAAAUACAAUUAAAUGUUGACUUGGUGGUGUUUUUUUUCCUUCAUAGUGGCCAGUUAGAGGCUGGGCUCUCAAGCGUUUGAUUAACAAGCACAUCUCCAACUUUCAGAAGAAGUGAUGCUCUGGGUGACGACAUCAACUUGUGCCUCUUUAAAGCAACAUGGAGGCAUCAGCAGUGCCCCCAGAGCCCCCCAAUCAGCUGUCUUUAAGUAGAGAGCUCUGUUUUCCUCUCUUCUUCAUUGCACUUCCUCCUCCCCAGCAGCUAGCUGCACACAGGAACUGUCUCACAUGAGCUGCAGCAGCCACUCGACUCUUGGUACAGUGUGGCAGAAAGAGCACACAUGUCAGAGCAAUGUUAAGGAGCUGCUCACUAAGAUCAUGUUUGGUACUUGAACCAGAACUCUUCCAGAUCUUAAAAAGAAACAAUGGCCUCUGUGAUUAUGAUGGAUGAUAAAUAAAAGCAAUAAACUAUCUCCAUCACUCAACUGGAAAAGAUAAGGAUACCUCCCUGUUUCCAGAGCGAAUCUGUGUGCUUGAAUAGGCUGACAGUGGAAGCAGCUUCCUGCUCAAACAAAUGAAUCCCAGAAAGUAACGAACAUUUUGUGCUUGCUUCUGUUCAGCUGAUGAAGAAUUACUGACUACUUUCCAAGAAGAGGAGCAUUUGCAAUGCUGAUGAUGACUCCAGAAGAGCAAAUUUACUGCAGGCAACAUUGACUGGGGUCUUAUUCCCCACUACUGCUCUAAAAGAUUGUUGCUGUUGUUGUUUUUCUUUAAUACUGCAUUUAAUAAUGUCUUUGCCUGAGAAGGCUUAUUAAAGACAUUUUGGUUUAA